rnacentral:lncRNA from 1 species
UGAUGUUGAGUACAACUUUAUCUGAUGUUGACAUAUCAGCUAAAGUUAAAAUAAAUUCAGAUGACAUAGGGGAGGAUACUUUUUGGUAGUAAGGUAGUCACUGAAGACAAAUUACCUACCCUGAACAUUGCUUUUCUUGUUCUAUAAAGUUGGUGGGUUGGGAGGAGAAAUACAGAGAGCACAGAUAAGUAUAUUCACAUUUUCACCAUUUAGAAUUAGCAGUUAACAUAAUGAAGCUUUAUAGUGAAAACCACCUCCUCUACUGGCAAUCUUUUGCUUCUCCCUGCCUUUUAAGACUUAAACAU